rnacentral:rRNA from 1 species
ACGUACGCUGGCGGCGUGCUUAACACAUGCAAGUCGAACGGAAAGGCCCUGCUUUUGUGGGGUGCUCGAGUGGCGAACGGGUGAGUAACACGUGAGUAACCUGCCCUUGACUUUGGGAUAACUUCAGGAAACUGGGGCUAAUACCGGAUAGGAGCUCCUGCUGCAUGGUGGGGGUUGGAAAGUUUCGGCGGUUGGGGAUGGACUCGCGGCUUAUCAGCUUGUUGGUGGGGUAGUGGCUUACCAAGGCUUUGACGGGUAGCCGGCCUGAGAGGGUGACCGGCCACAUUGGGACUGAGAUACGGCCCAGACUCCUACGGGAGGCAGCAGUGGGGAAUAUUGCACAAUGGGCGGAAGCCUGAUGCAGCAACGCCGCGUGCGGGAUGACGGCCUUCGGGCUGUAAACCGCUUUCGCCUGUGACGAAGCGUGAGUGACGGUAAUGGGUAAAGAAGCACCGGCUAACUACGUG